GAGUUGGUCUAGGGGUAUGAUUCUCGCUUAGGGGGCGUGAGGUCCCGGGUUCACAUCCCGGACGAGCC
rnacentral:tRNA from 1 species